rnacentral:rRNA from 1 species
GACGAACGCUGGCGGCGUGCUUAACACAUGCAAGUCGAACGGAAAGGCCCUGCUUUUGUGGGGUGAUCGAGUGGCGAACGGGUGAGUAACACGUGAGUAACCUGACCUUGACUUUGGGAUAACUUCAGGAAACUGGGGCUAAUACCGGAUAGGAGAUCCUGCUGCAUGGUGGGGGUUGGAAAGUUUCGGCGGGUGGGGAUGGACUCGCGGCUUAUCAGCUUGUUGGUGGGGUAGUGGCUUACCAAGGCUUUGACGGGUAGCCGGCCUGAGAGGGUGACCGGCCACAUUGGUACUGAGAUACGGCCCAGACUCCUACGGGAGGCAGCAGUGGGGAAUAUUGCACAAUGGGCGGAAGCCUGAUGCAGCAACGCCGCGUGCGGGAUGACGGCCUUCGGGUUGUAAACCGCUUUCGCCUGUGACGAAGCGUGAGUGACGGUAAUGGGUAAAGAAGCACCGGCUAACUACGUG